rnacentral:lncRNA from 1 species
AUCCUGGUACUUUUGAUAACUAUCACAGCAAUGUUUUUAAACAUGUUUAGGAAAGGAACAUAUUUCUGAUUCGAUGUUUAUAUACAAAUGCAUUACAAGUAUAAAUAUGUAUAGGUUGAUGUUUAGUCCCUUCGAUGUUUUAGACUGUAAAUAAAUUAUGACCAAUUUAUUUCUGACAUCUUCUUCAUUUUUAACUUUUGUGGAUAGGUG